rnacentral:lncRNA from 1 species
UGUGUGUGUGUGUAUAUGUGUAGUAGUGUGUGUAUAGUUUUUUUGAUCGUGAGAAGAGAAAACUCUGUUUUUGUUCUGCCCACACAUUUGCUUUACUCAUCAUUGAAGGCAGCCAUUUCUCUUUGGCCAUUCUUCAUCUUGUGUCUUGUUUAAAAGAUUGGUGCUGUGAUGACUCGAUCGCCUGGACGUAAAUAAGAAAGUGCGUGCAUAAUGGCGAGUGCAAAACAGUUUGGAGAUUCGCUAUCCAUCUGGCCGCUGUUGGUGUUGACGAGUCUUUGUCUCGCAUCGGCCGGUCCGAUCGUGAACACGUUUAACGAAGGCAAUGGCGGCCACCGGCUUCAGCAUCUCGUUGUCGUUAAGCACAGCGCCUUGGUCUACGUCGGCGGAGUGAACCGGCUCUAUCAACUUUCGCCCGAACUUGAUCGCCAGGUGACGGUGGAGACGGGACCGAGGGAAGACAGUCCAGAAUGUCCGGCCGUCGAUUGUCUAGUUGCAGGUGUUCAUCGAGGUCAGCUAAAAGCGAGGAUGACUUUAUCUCCGGAUUGACAAA